GCCCUGGUAGCUCAGUGGAUAGAGCGUUUGCCUCCGGAGCAAAAGGUCGUGGGUUCGAGUCCCGUCCAGGGCA
rnacentral:tRNA from 1 species